GAUGAAGAACGUAGCGAAAUGCGAUACUUGGUGUGAAUUGCAGAAUCCCGUGAACCAUCGAGUCUUUGAACGCAAGUUGCGCCCGAAGCCAUUAGGCCGAGGGCACGCCUGCCUGGGCGUCACACGUCGUUGCCCCCCCAUCUACUCCUUCGGGAUUGCGGGGGGCGGAUGAUGGCCUCCCGUGCACCUCGCCGCGCGGUUGGCAUAAAUGCCAAGUCCUCGGCGACGCACGCCACGACAAUCGGUGGUUGCGAAACCUCGGUUGCCCGUCGUGUGCGGUCGUCGCGCAUCGAGGGCUCGAAAAAAUUGCCGGGUUCCGGCUCGGCUUUCAACGCGACCCCAGGUCAGGCGGGGUUACCCGCUGAAUUUAAGCAUAUCAAUAAGCGGAGGA
rnacentral:misc_RNA from 1 species